rnacentral:piRNA from 1 species
AACCNCAAUUCACCCUACUGACCUGUGAUAA